AUUGAACGCUGGCGGCAUGCUUUACACAUGCAAGUCGAACGGUAACAGGCCGCAAGGUGCUGACGAGUGGCGAACGGGUGAGUAAUGCAUCGGAACGUGCCCAGUCGUGGGGGAUAACGCAGCGAAAGCUGUGCUAAUACCGCAUACGAUCUAUGGAUGAAAGCGGGGACCGUAAGGCCCCGCGCGAUUGGAGCGGCCGAUGUCAGAUUAGCUAGUUGGUGGGGUAAAGGCCCACCAAGGCGACGAUCUGUAGCUGGUCUGAGAGGACGACCAGCCACACUGGGACUGAGAAACGGCCCAGACUCCUACGGGAGGCAGCAGUGGGGAAUUUUGGACAAUGGGCGCAAGCCUGAUCCAGCAAUGCCGCGUGCAGGAAGAAGGCCUUCGGGUUGUAAACUGCUUUUGUACGGAACGAAACGGUCUGGGUUAAUACCCUGGGCUAAUGACGGUACCGUAAGAAUAAGCACCGGCUAACUACGUGCCAGCCGCCGCCGUAACAC
rnacentral:rRNA from 1 species